rnacentral:lncRNA from 1 species
UCUGUAUCAUUGUAGAAAAAGAGGCAGAUAUAUCAGCAUUUGCUGACUAUAGGCCAACCGAAGUAACAGAUUUAAAACCACAAGUGCCACCACCUACCCCACCCCCGGUGGCCGCUGUUCCUCCAACUCCCCAGCCUUUAGCUCCUACACCUUCAGCACCCUGCCCAGCUACUCCUGCUGGACCAAAGGGAAGGGUGUUUGUUAGCCCUCUUGCAAAGAAGUUGGCAGUAGAGAAAGGGAUUGAUCUUACACAAGGACAGGACCAGAUGGUAGAAUCACCAAGAAGGAUAUCGACUCUUUUGUGCCUAGUAAAGUUGCUCCUGCUCCGGCAGCUGUUGUGCCUCCCACAGGUCCUGGAAUGGCACCAGUUCCUACAGGUGUCUUCACAGAUAUCCCAAUCAGCAACAUUCGUCGGGUUAUUGCACAGCGAUUAAUGCAAUCAAAGCAAACCAUACCUCAUUAUUACCUUUCUAUCGAUGUAAAUAUGGGAGAAGUUUUGUUGGUACGGAAAGAACUUAAUAAGAUAUUAGAAGGGAGAAGCAAAAUUUCUGUCAAUGACUUCAUCAUAAAAGCUUCAGCUUUGGCAUGUUUAAAAGUUCCCGAAGCAAAUUCUUCUUGGAUGGACACAGUUAUAAGACAAAAUCAUGUUGUUGAUGUCAGUGUUGCGGUCAGUACUCCUGCAGGACUCAUCACACCUAUUGUGUUUAAUGCACAUAUAAAAGGAGUGGAAACCAUUGCUAAUGAUGUUGUUUCUUUAGCAACCAAAGCAAGAGAGGGUAAACUACAGCCACAUGAAUUCCAGGGUGGCACUUUUACGAUCUCCAAUUUAGGAAUGUUUGGAAUUAAGAAUUUCUCUGCUAUUAUUAACCCACCUCAAGCAUGUAUUUUGGCAAUUGGUGCUUCAGAGGAUAAACUGGUCCCUGCAGAUAAUGAAAAAGGGUUUGAUGUGGCUAGCAUGAUGUCUGUUACACUCAGUUGUGAUCACCGGGUGGUGGAUGGAGCAGUUGGAGCCCAGUGGCUUGCUGAGUUUAGAAAGUACCUUGAAAAACCUAUCACUAUGUUGUUGUAACUAACUCAAGAAUUUCUAAACUCUCCCAGGUCACACUGAUUCAUUCUUAACAAGAUAUUUAUAUGUUAUUAAACAGGUGGUUCUUUUUAUUUUAACCAGUUAUUUUUAUUAUUGAGUCUGUCCAGAUAAGUUAUUUAUAAUGGGCAUUACUGAAUUUUUAAAAUGCCGAUUACACCCAAAUAUUGUGCACAUUUAAUAAUCAGACACCAGAUUUUUAGCUCUGUACUCCUAAUUAAGGGACAUGUAUGUGGCCUUGCCUAGCCCUUUGGUGAUAAGUACUUCCUCUAGGAAAUGUACGAUAGGUAGAAUUGUGGUUCCCUAAAGACAAGUACAUAAAGGUGACCCUGAUGAAACCUUGAAGUUCUGAAAUUUAACUGCCUAAAAUGUUCUCCUUAGAUGUGAGAGAAAGAGAAAUCAGAAAAAUUAAUUCUCUUGGGGGAAGGGCUUGAAUUGAAGCUUUACUUUAGAAUUUAGCCCUGGUUUGAAAUUUUCCAUUACAUGAUCUUGGUUUAUCAUCGAUGGGAAGGGUAGAAAACUUCAAGGAAAAUAAGUGAAAUUUUAAAAGUCAGCAUUUUCUUAGACCUCUUCAGCUGAUUGUUUAUUUUUCUAUGAAUUCCUACACAUGGUUAUUCCCCCCUACUUGAGAUAAUCUAAAUAUAAACCAGCUACUUGAUGUAACUGAGAAUUUGUGUGGAUAUUUAUUUAAACAAAUGUGUAAUUUUGAGUACAGAAUUCAACAGUUACCUCC